rnacentral:lncRNA from 1 species
GCGACCUGCGAUCAUUGAACGAGGCACGCAGCGGUGGUGGUGGAGAUAGGGAGACCCUCUGUGCCGGGGGGACCCUCACCAAGGUGAAGACACCGAGGCUCAGGGAGGAAGCAAAGCGCGGAGCAGGGCCAGAUCUGUCUGGCUCCUGACCCCACACCACAGCUUUCGACAUUGUUUAGUAACAGCCUCUGCAUCCUGAGGGUGCUCUCGCUAGGUGUGACUUGAAUCUCUCCUCCCCUCGCCUGCGUUGGAUCUGAUGGAAGGACUGUGUAAGUAGGUCGGAUCUGCUUCUAACCCAGCCUUGAGAGACAUCACCUGUCUUCUUGUGCAGAUCCUCAGAACAGGAAGGUGGCAGAAUCGUGUUUCAAAGUGGGACUUGAAGAUGCUUGGCAGGAGACUCGUCCAGAUGGAGGGGCAGUGGGGAAAAGCUUUAUUGCCUUUAGGACUUCUGUGUCUCCCUUGCCUUACAACGUACCCAACAUUCAAUCCAGUGUCCUGGUGGUGGCAGAUGUGGAAGCCGAGUCUGGAGAUGUCAAGGGGCUUGGCCCAGGUCACACAGCCCGCCAUAGUAGGGCUGCCCUUGGAGCUUCAUUUCCCAACUGGAAGCCAAACCCUGUGCCGCCUCUGCUUGUGCA